rnacentral:lncRNA from 1 species
GCCAGUGAGAGUACCAGGGACACCAGAAAUAUUUGAUCGGUCAUACAUACUGGAGAAAAUCACUGGUAAAAGCUUGUUUUACCAUCAUCAGUUUAUCACCACAUCCGUAAUGCUGUGAGCUUUUAUUUUAGAUGGUGUAAAAAUUCCAAACUGUGAUGAGGUGAAUCUACUGGAGUCAUCGAUUCAAAGAGCUACAGAUAUAGAGAAAAUUUUGCUUAGUCUUCCGGCAUCAUUUGAUAGGUUUCCAUUGUGGAUCUCUUAUAACAGCACCCCACAAGGUUGCAACUUUCAGAUUGAACAGAAGAAAACAUUUUCAGACAUGUUUGAGGAUGUCAAAGAGUACAGUCACUUGAUUGUCACACCACCCCUGCAACUGGCAAAUAUGGGAAUAGAGGGACCUCUGCUGGUGUAUCUCAGUGAAGAUAAUCUAGGUGUUUACUUGAACAAAAACAAGGCAGACCGGUAUGAGAUUAAGGUUUUCGACUGUCUUUCUGGAAAAGAGACCACAAAAAAUGUGAAUGAUCUGGCUAGAAUACUCAAUGAUACCAGAACUGACAACAUUGUUGAAGUCAGUAAAACCCCUAAAGAGGCAGUUGUGGUGCUCUUUGAUUCAAGUUCUUCAAUGAUGGAAGAAUGUUAUGACACCGCAAGUCAAAUGAAGCGCAUUGAUGCUGUCAAGCAAAUCUUUGACAGCUUUGCAAACCGAAGC